rnacentral:lncRNA from 1 species
UAUUGCUAUCUACUGUGAGGUAACAAUGGAUUGAUGACAGUUUACACUAUCCAGAGGCACAGCCCUCAGAAGGGACUAAGGGCUCUGUCACAGUGGCUGGGGUGUCAGUGCUCAGUCCAGAGACUUUGAGAAAGUGCUACAGAAGUGGGCCAGACAAGGACUAUUGGAGAAGGAAGCAAAGUAAUGUGGCAUUACAUGAUAACAGCAAAUGAGAGAAAAGUUGGCUAUUUCCACAAGGCGCUCUUACCGUUCAAAAAUGAAGGAAAGGUGUGUCUCAUAGAGCAAAGAUGGGAUUGA